rnacentral:rRNA from 1 species
CAGUCGCCACGGUAAUACGAAGGGAGCGAGCGUUGUUCGGAAUCACUGGGCUUAAAGCGUGCGUAGGCGGAAAUGUAAGUCAGAAGUGAAAGCCCAGGGCUCAACCCUGGAACUGCUUUUGAGACUGCAAUUCUAGAAUUCGGUAGAGGCUAGUGGAAUGUCCAGUGUAGAGGUGAAAUUCGCAGAUAUUGGACGGAACACCAGUGGCGAAGGCGACUAGCUGGGCCGAUAUUGACGCUGAGGCACGAAAGCGUGGGUAGCAAACAGGAUUAGAUACCCCCGUAGUCCCUGUCUCUUAUAC